CGAACGGGUGAGUAAUAUAUCGGAACGUACCCAGUAGCGGGGGAUAACUACUCGAAAGAGUAGCUAAUACCGCAUACGACCUACGGGUGAAAGCAGGGGAUCUUCGGACCUUGCGUUAUUAGAGCGGCCGAUAUCUGAUUAGGUAGUUGGUGGGGUAAAGGCUCACCAAGCCGACGAUCUAUAGCUGGUCUGAGAGGACGACCAGCCACACUGGAACUGAGACACGGUCCAGACUCC
rnacentral:rRNA from 1 species